rnacentral:SRP_RNA from 1 species
AGUCUUAUACGACCAGCUCCUGCUGAACUCCCCCAGGUCUGGAAGGAAGCAAGGGUAGGUGGUUGUAGCGGUGCGAUAUAAG